AGCAAGACUGUGAAGAGGAGCCAAACUCAAAAACCGGUCCCAGUUCGGAUUGUAGGCUGCAACUCGCCUACAUGAAGUCGGAGUUGCUAGUAAUCGCGGAUCAGAAUGCCGCGGUGAAUGCGUUCCCGGGUCUUGUACACACCGCCCGUCACACCAUGGAAGUUGGGGGCGCCCGAAGUUGGUCGAGAAAUAGAUUACCUAAGGCGAAACCAAUGACUGGGGUGAAGUCGUAACAAGGUACC
rnacentral:rRNA from 1 species